UGUCAUGCUCGCUAGGCGAAGCCAACGUGUUUUAAAAAAAAAAAGAACGAAAAACGAAAAAUAAAUAAAUAAAUAAAUAAAAUGUAACAGAAAAUUUUUGGACUUGGGCCUCUCUCAUUUGAGCCCACAGGUCCACAAAAAUCAGGUUAUAAAUUCAGAGUUUCAGUGAAACAAAAGGGGAUUCCAUUCCUAUUACCCUGGCAGGGAAAAAGAUAGUGAGAGAAGAGCUAACAGAG
rnacentral:lncRNA from 1 species